rnacentral:lncRNA from 1 species
CUACUCCAGAAGUACGCAUCCACAUACAUCCACUCAUUUCCAUAUCUAGAUUCACCUAAAAUUAUUCUACUCCAAUCUAGGAGAGAAUAGCCAAAAAUAUUAUCCUAUCCCUAUUAUUCCCUGUGAAAUAAAUGCUCGAGAUAUUUUGGUUACUACCACUUGCUACAUUAUUCUAGGAGGGUGAGUGCUCUGAAAAAAAGUGAAUACGAGGAAAUAAAAAGUGGCAAAUGCCUGAAACCUCGAAAAAAGAGAGAAAAAGUGAGACGAGAGGUAAAAAUGGACAAGUGUCCGACAGUAGAAUUAGGUGUACAAGAUACCCACAUGAGAGAAAAGAAAAAUAAAAUAUAGAGCAUCUCAUUCCCCUCAAAAGUCACAAGUGCAAGAAAGGUAUGUACCCCCUCAAAAGAGCAAAAGUAGAAUUAGACUUUCACCAUUAUCACCAUUCAUUCACCACACAUGCACAUCUUGAUUUGACUUAUUGACUUAUUCUUCUGGAUCCAUAGUUUGACUAUGCAAUAAGUGUCUUGUAAGUAUGUAUUAGCUGUCUCCCACCUAUGAGCUCCAGAUAUCAAAAUCUUAUUAGAGUAGCGUGAGAGAGAAUGCAAUACCACUAUGCCUCAUACCAAAAAUACCACAUACU